rnacentral:rRNA from 1 species
CUAACAAGGAUUCCCCUAGUAACGGCGAGUGAAGAGGGAAGAGCUCAAAUUUUAAAUCUGCCUUGUUCCAAGGUCGAGUUGUAAUUUGAAGAAGCGUUUUCUUGGGCUCGCGGCCGGUAGAAGUUCUUUGGAACAGGACAUCAUAGAGGGUGACAAUCCCGUCCGUGACCGGUCGUGCGUUCAUAUACGAUACGCUUUCAAAGAGUCGAGUUGUUUGGGAUUGCAGCUCCAAACGGGUGGUAAACAUCACCUAAGGCUAAAUAUUGGCGAGAGACCGAUAGCGAACAAGUACCGUGAGGGAAAGAUGAAAAGAACUUUGAAAAGAGAGUUAAACAGUACGUGAAAUUGUUGAAAGGGAAACGAUUGAAGUCAGUCGUGCUGGCGCGAAAUCAACCCUCUCGUCUUGAGAUCACAUGGCGCGACGAGCCUCAAAACCGUCACGAAGCGUGAACUCUUGACGAAAAGGUGCACUUUCGUGUCCGCUGGUUAACAUCAAUUUCGAACGUCAUAAAAAGGCUGGAGGGAUGUGGCUCCUUCGGGAGUGUUAUAACCUUUAGCGGAAUGUGGCGUUCGGGAUUGAGGAUUGCAACGAAUACCUUCAGGGCUGUUCCACCUGGCUUCUCAUUGGUAUCCUGGUGACGACAGCUUGCUGACGUCGUUAGGAUCAGCUUCUGAACAGGCUAGAGUGUGAGCAAAUUCGUUAAGGAUGU